rnacentral:piRNA from 1 species
GUUUAAUAAGAAUUUCAGCUUUGGG